rnacentral:rRNA from 1 species
UACGUAGGGUGCAAGCGUUGUCCGGAAUUAUUGGGCGUAAAGAGCUUGUAGGCGGUUUGUCGCGUCUGCUGUGAAAUUUCGGGGCUCAACCCCGAACUUGCAGUGGGUACGGGCAGACUAGAGUGUGGUAGGGGAGACUGGAAUUCCUGGUGUAGCGGUGAAAUGCGUAGAUAUCGGGAGGAACACCAGUGGCGAAGGCGGCUCUCUGGACCUCUGCUGACGCUGAGGCGCGAAAGCGUGGGGAGCGAUCCGG